CCUCAUUUUUUGGCUCCACAUAUUAAAGUCCCCUUCCCAUUACACAUUUUCACUUCAAACUUAGCAGUAGACAUGUAAAGAUACACCAAGAUAAUACACAGUACACAAGUUUAGUUUUAAGAACACACAGGGACACACAAUGUGGGGACAAUGGGCAAAUUAGGGGAUCAGGGUCCAAUCAGCAAUGCACUUAUACAAUUUUCUCUAGACAGUAAGCACUUAACACUAAGUAUAAAAGGUAGAAUCACGAAGAAUGGAGAUAUCAAUUUCUACGCCUCAACUGAUUUCUCCAGCAAGGUCUUCCAAUUACACUUCUUCCCAAGACUUCAAGAGUCUUUGGACAAAGACAAAGCACUGAAGGUUUUAUAGCACAAGUUAAAUCAAGGGAAAGAUCAGGAGACCCUACUGUAAAGAAUUACUAAUUACGAAACACAUGAAAGAUCUCACCAAAAGAGUUCGAAAGAACUCAAAUUCCACCAAGCAAUGUUCACUACAGAUUGAAGUAAGUUUCAAAAUCUGGUUUAAUUAAGAAAUCACAAAGCUCCAACAGUCCAAGUUGCUUUGAUAUCACUGAAAAGUCAAGCACCAUUCAAGAAUUAACCAAUAUACAAAAAACCAUUCAUAAAUAGUAAAGUGCAGAAAUAUAAAAAUCGACACAAGUAUUUUUCGACCGUAGCCCCAGAGGUUCAGUGACUACAUCUAACGCUUAAUCCCCUGUUGAGCAUCCGUUAUAAAUGGAUUUGGCAUGGCUGCACUAAAAUAGCCAAAAAUCAGUAACAAGAAUACACAACCGUUCUAGAAAAAAUACAAGAACAAGGUCACAAAGACUUAUCUCAACAAGAUCCACGAAGGAAACUACAAAUCCACGAAGGAUGUGCAUUAUCUAUAUAAAAAUGUUUUAAAACUUUUUUUUGUAUAUGUAGAUUGGUGAACAAAUAAUCUAUCUGCGAAAUGUUUAAUCUGCAAUCCGAGACAAAAUUUGGUUUUUCCCAAAUCCUUUAUCUCAAAUUUAUUUUUCAAAUAAUCAGCAAUUUUGUUGAGCUCGGACUUAACUGAACUCAUAUCCCUUCGAUCAAAGGAAUUGAAUGAGAGGGGGUAGUAAAGUCGGCUGAACACAAACCCAAUUGAAGUGAAACUCUCUUCAGGAAUUCCAAUUAAAUUUAAAUCAUCAACAUAAAAUGUCACAAUUGCAAAUCCAAUAUUUGUUUUCUUUAUGAAAACACAUGGGCAGACAUCAUCAUUUUAAUAACUCUCAUUCAACAAAUAUACGCUAAGGUGAUUAUAUGACAUGCGUCCGGAUUGUUUUAAUCCAUAUGAUGAUAUUUACAAUUUAAUUCAGAACGUGAUUUUCGAGCAUGUAUCAUUUGUUCCUGGCACUUUAAAUCCUUCGGGAACUUCCAUAUAUAUAUAUAUAUAUAUAUAUAUAUGUCACUAUCAAGUGAACCAUUCAAAUAAGUAGUUACUAUAUCCAUAAAGUGCAUAUCAAGCAUUUGUGACACAGUCAAACUAAUAAAAAUCUAAAUGGUGUCCAUUACGGAAGAAUAUGUUUCCUCAUAAUGAAUUCCUGGUUUUUGUGAGAAACAUUGAGUUACUAGUUGAGCUUUGUUCCUUGUACUUUCAUUAUUUUUCAUUUCUCUUUUGUACAAAAACUCAUGUGUAUCCCACAGGGAUUACAUUUUUCGAUGUUCAAACUACAGGUCCUAGCACUUUUUGUUUCACUAAAGAAUUCAAUUCCGCCUGUAUGACUUCUUUCCAUUUGGCUAAUCAUUUCUAUUAUCAUAGUCUUUAACUGACUGCAGUUUAGGAUCCUUAAUUUGCAUAAUAUCAAGAGCCAUAUUAAAGGCAAAAAUAUUGUCUAUAACAACUUUAUUCCAUUCCCAUAAUUUAUGAAAUAACAUAUAAUUUUUUGAAAUUUCAUUAUUUUUGAACACUUGUGGUUCUUCAGGAACCAUAUUUUCAAUAUUUGAUUGAUCAAUCUUUUCUAAUGUUACUUCAUCUAGAGUUUUUAGUUGGUUUUUCUCUUGCACUUUUCUUUUUCAAGAUACAUAAUCUUUUAAACAGAUCAGAGCAGAUUUGAGAUUCAUUUGUCAGAGCAGAUUGUCCAACAAGGACAUCAAUUUUUACUGAAAUAUUUUCUUCUGAUAUAUAUGACUUUCUCACUUUUUUAUGUCAACAAAUAUAUCAGGUAAUUGAUUUGCAACCUUUUUGCAAAUGAAUGAUUUUUUUUCAACCUUUUGCUCACAUUAAUUGCUACAAGGAUCAAAGUGUGAUAAGAUUGUUUCAUUCCAAGAAAUUUUACCUUGUUUUUCAGAAUAUAGUUUUUUCAUCCUAAAGUUGGGAAAGCCAUUUUAACAAAAUGGCAAUCUACAAAACGUACAGAUAAAUUACUCUUUAAAGGUUCAAGAUAUCUAAUAAUAAAUCGUGAAUCAAAACCCACAUAAAUCCUAAGUCUUUAUUGAGGACCCAUUUUAGUACGUUGUGGGGGGUGAAAUCGGAACUUGGACAGCACACCAGAAUUUCGUAGUUGAGAAAUAUCAGGUUCAUGAUCAAAUGCAAAUUGUAAAAGUGAAUAUUGAUAAUAGGCAGUUGAUCUUAGACGAAUCAAUGAUGCAACAUGUAAUAUGGCAUGACCCCAAAACAAAAGUUGGGACUUUUGUUUUCAUAAGUAAUGGUCUAACAAUAAGUUGUAGACGUUUAAUAAACGACUUCACCAAACCAUUUUGUAUAUGAACAUGCGCAACUGAAUAUUUAAUUAUCCCAAUUGAUAUACAAUAAUCAUCGAAUGUUUGUGAUCUAUUUUCACCAUCAUUGUCAAGACAAAUAGUCUUAAUUGGGUAAAUGACAAAUUGUGCUCGUAAUUUUAAGAUUUGAGCAAGUAGUCUAGCAAAGAUUACAUUCCUAUUGGAAAGUAGGCAAACAUGUGAUCAUCUAGUAGAAGAAUCAAUUAAUACAAUAAAAUAACGAAUUACUCCACAUAGUGGAUGUAUUGGCCCAUACAUAUAUCUUCACGAAUUCUUUCCAAGAAAGUUGUAGAUUCAAUAUUGAUAUUUGUAGUUGAAGACCUAAUGACUAACUUGCCUCGCGAACAAGCUACACAUGGAAAAUCAUUAGGUAAAAGAAUCAUUUUGUUCUUUAAAGGAUGUCCAUGUGAGUUGUUUAUUAUUCGACGCAUCAUUAUAACUCUUGAAUGUCCAAGCCGAUCAUGUCAAAGUACAAAAUUUUUGGGUCAAAGAACUUCUGGUUCGUGACAAUAUUUGAUUCAACCAUUUUUAUAAAUGUAUAAUAUAUGCCAGAAGGGAGUGCAUGAAGUUUUUCUUUAAUAUACAUCUGACUAAACACAAAAGAAGUUAUGCAAAAAUGUUUAACAUUAUUUUCUUUCAUCAUCUCAAUAUGAUAUCCAUUGAAGCGGAUAUAUUUAACACUAAGCAAAUUUCUUUUGGAUUUGCUAGAAUAAUGAAUAUCGUCAAUAUAUAAUUUUGCAUUAUUUGAUAAAAUAAUAUAAGCUCUUCUGGAACUUUCAAAGAUAUUCGAUGCACCCAAUAUCGUAUUAACAUUAUUUUUUGCAAAUGAUAAAUUCAAAAAAAAUAUUUUUUCUUAAAGAAUAGUGUACAUAUUUUUACUAUCAACUAAACAAAUAUAUUGAUAAUUUAUCUCGAAUUUUUGAUAUUUGACUUUUGAGCAACGUUACAAUAAACUAAAAUAUAAUUAAUUACGAAGAAUAUGAUUAAAUAUUUUAUAAUCAAAUAGUAAUCAAUCAAGUAGACAGGCUAAUUAAUAUCAAUAUGACAUGAGUUAUAUGUUUUCCUUCAGGGGUAAACAUGAAUUCAAAAUUGAUUUAUUCUUCAAAACAUGUGCUACUUCGAGAAAUGUUAUUAUUUAUUAUUGCCUCUUCUAGAGCAAUAGAUCAAUAUUCUUUUGGAAUAUUAAAAUUGUAAUAUUAUGCUCUUCUCGAGUUUUUUUAGAAUAUUAAUAAUAAUAUUGUGCUUCUUCAAGAGCAAUAAAAUAUUAUUGUUAGAAAUAAUAAAUUAUAUAUUUACUCUUCAGGAGUAAAAACAUAAUUUAUAUUAGAUUUUAUUGAAUUAUGCUCUUCAGGAGGAAGUAAAAUCCAACUAGAAUAUUAAUAAUAAUAUGUUACUUAUUGAGCAACAAUUUUUAUAAUAGAUAGAUAUACGAUUACUAUAGUUGUAAAUCAUACUCAUAUUUAAAAGAAUGAGAACGAGAUAAUUAAUCAAACAAUAAAUAAGAAACAUAUAUAAUAGCAUGUAAUAAAUAAAUAUACCAGUCCAUGCCUUUUCAGUUUCGUGUUUUGUUCCAUAGCUUUAUGGCCUCGUGCUGGGCCAUCUUUCUCAAUCUGAAAGCAAGAUCCAUUGCCAAGGAAUUCGACAUAUAAAAGACACCUAUCAUUCCAGCUGAUCGUUGGCCAAAACUUCCAUGUAAUGAAAUAAUAAAGCAUUAUUUGGCUCUAAAACUUUCUUCUAGUUCUCAUACGACGACAUGUAAUUGCUUCAGCUAAUCGGUAAUCUAAUCCAACAAUCUUUCUCCAACUUUUUUAUUGGAGGCUAAUGUCGAUAGCAAAGAAAUCUAGCCAAAAACAUAUACAGCAACGAGAAAGAGAGUUGUAGAGAUGAGAAGAGGUCAAAAAUACUUAAAAAUAUCAAGAACUUUAGGUGCGAGAUAGAUGAUAAAAACGAAUGAUAAGCAUAAAUUAAUGGCCGAAAGGAUGUGGAAUUUGUAUUUGAGAAGCUUUUCUAGGAUAUCCAUGGCAGAUUUGGGCUACUUUUUUGUAAAAUCAUUAUGGGUUUUGUAAAAG
rnacentral:lncRNA from 1 species